rnacentral:rRNA from 1 species
UACGGAGGGUGCAAGCGUUAUCCGGAUUCACUGGGUUUAAAGGGUGCGUAGGUGGGUUGGUAAGUCAGUGGUGAAAUCUCCGAGCUUAACUUGGAAACUGCCAUUGAUACUAUUAAUCUUGAAUAUUGUGGAGGUCAGCGGAAUAUGUCAUGUAGCGGUGAAAUGCUUAGAGAUGACAUAGAACACCAAUUGCGAAGGCAGCUGGCUACACAUAUAUUGACACUGAGGCACGAAAGCGUGGGGA